ACUCUGCUUCAAGAAAGAAAUAUGACUUCUACAGAUAGUACAAAAAUAGGUGCAAAGUGAAAGCAAUCUGUCAGUGCACUUCUAGCAGACAUUCCACCCCUGAAGAGUAUUAGAUUCAAAUCUAUGAGAUCUCUUCAUUGCCCUCCAGCUAGACUGGCCGGUGGGACCAUGAAUUUCACAUUUGGUUUGGUUUGGUUUGGUCCCAGUCCAUUUCUUGGCAUUAUUUUAGUGGGACCAGGAUCAGAAUGGGAGUGUAAAGUGACUAGAAUUAUCAAAACAUGAGUGAAAUGGGACU
rnacentral:sRNA from 2 species